rnacentral:rRNA from 1 species
ACGUCUCAGUUCAGAUUGCAGGCUGCAACUCGCCUGCAUGAAGUCGGAAUUGCUAGUAAUCGCAGAUCAGCAUGCUGCGGUGAAUACGUUCCCGGGCCUUGUACACACCGCCCGUCACACCAUGGGAGUCGGUAACACCCGAAGUCGGUAGCCUAACCGUAAGGAGGGCGCCGCCGAAGGUAGGUCGGAUGACUGGGGUGAAGUCGUAACAAGGUAAC